CCAUAUAUAAAUUGAACUAAACAUAUAUAAUCAUCGUCAAUAGCUACACUAACAUAAAUUAUAAAAGCGUAAACACAACUUGAAACUAACCAUUUAGAUAAAAAAUUUGAGAACUUCAUUCUAAAUAUUCAAUCAGCUCUAGAUCAAAAUUAGUUUUUACUGUUACAAAAUCUAAUGAAAUGCUCACAGAAAAAUUAGCAAAUGACAUAAAAGCUCAGGAGAGAAGACCAGCCUGAUGGUGUUCUUUCCUACUCUAUUGCUUCUCCUUCCUCAUCCCUAGCCUGCAAUCCCACAAUCUAGACGCUCAAAAAAUCCCUAAGCUUUUAUCUCUCAAUCCCUUUGUCCCAGUGUACCCUUUCUUUCUCCAUUCCUUUGCUUUGGUUGGUUGGUAAUCCUUCGCUGAGUUUCCUUGAAGAACGCAGGCUCUCUCCCUAAAACCCAAACGAAAUCCAGCAAACCCGAAUACCUCUAGUAUUCUUCCCAAACAAUAACCCGGAACCAGAAAAACUUCCUACAAUUCCCCAAAAAUUCCUCUGAAAGACUUCGUGUGUUGAUUCUAUUCUUCCCGUUCGUCAAUUUCCUAAAAAUAUUCAAUUCCAGAACGAGCAUUUCAUAUCAGUUUACAGAACCACGCCGUAAAGGCUAUAGUUAAGCUGGAGAGCGCAAAUAAAACACUAUCAGCAGCAAUUGUACAGAUUCACUAAUACACUAUAUGGACANNNN
rnacentral:lncRNA from 1 species